UUACUACUCCCUCCGUUCGGAAUUACUUGUCUCGAAAAUGGAUGUAUCUAGAACUAAAAUACAUCUAAAUACAUCUAUUUCUACGACAAGUAAUUUUGAACGGAGGGAGUAAUAA
rnacentral:pre_miRNA from 1 species